GACAGAGGGUGCAACCGUUGUUCGGAAUUACUGGGCGUAAAGCGCGUGUAGGCGGCCCUGCAAGUCGGAUGUGAAAUCCCACGGCUCAACCGUGGAAGUGCAUUCGAAACUGCAGGGCUAGAGUCCUGGAGAGGAAGGUGGAAUGCUUGGUGUAGAGGCGAAAUUCGUAGAUAUCAAGCGGAACACCGGUGGCGAAGGCGGCCUUCUGGACAGUGACUGACGCUGAGACGCGAAAGCGUGGGGAGCAAACAGG
rnacentral:rRNA from 1 species